UACAGAGGGGGCGAGCGUUGUUCGGAAUUACUGGGCGUAAAGGGCGCGUAGGCGGCCCGCUAAGUCGAACGUGAAAUCCCCGGGCUCAACCCGGGAACUGCGUCCGAUACUGGAAGGCUUGAAUCCGGGAGAGGGAUGCGGAAUUCCAGGUGUAGCGGUGAAAUGCGUAGAUAUCUGGAGGAACACCGGUGGCGAAGGCGGCAUCCUGGACCGGCAUUGACGCUGAGGCGCGAAAGCCAGGGGAGCAAACGGG
rnacentral:rRNA from 1 species